rnacentral:misc_RNA from 1 species
GAUGAAGAACGUAGCGAAAUGCGAUAAGUAAUGUGAAUUGCAGAAUUCAGUGAAUCAUCGAAUCUUUGAACGCACAUUGCGCCCGCCAGUAUUCUGGCGGGCAUGCCUGUUCGAGCGUCAUUACAACCCUCAGGCCCCCGGGCCUGGCGUUGGGGAUCGGCGGAAGCCCCCUGCGGGCACAACGCCGUCCCCCAAAUACAGCGGCGGUCCCGCCGCAGCUUCCAUUGCGUAGUAGCUAACACCUCGCAACUGGAGAGCGGCGCGGCCACGCCGUAAAACACCCAACUUCUGAAUGUUGACCUCGAAUCAGGUAGGAAUACCCGCUGAACUUAAGCAUAUCAAUAAGCGGAGGA